rnacentral:lncRNA from 1 species
UGGCUUCAUCUAGAGAAAGUUUCCAUGAGGCUUCUAAUGUUUUACAGCUAAUGAAGUUGUAGUGAAAGUGAAGAUGUUUUUAUCCAAAGGUUUCAUGUUGGUGUUGUAAUCUCCUAAAAAUGUCAUAGUUAAGCCUUUGAAUAUGCACUUCAUGGUGUUGAUGCGAUCUUGGUGUUACCUAAGCUGACUUUGAAGUUAACCAUUGAAUGAAUCAUCUUUCCCCUGUAUACGUGAAGCUACACUGUGUUAUUCCUGAUUUCCAUGUGGUUUGAGCUACAGUGUAGCAGCAUAUUGAUCUACCUUGAAUCCUAUGGUGAUGUAGUUGAAGUUUUACUAUAGUGGACUUGUGCACUUAGCACAUAUGAUACCGUAUAAUGUAUUUCAGUAAGCAUCAGACAAUUCUACAUACUUCAAGAAAAUAAUUUCUCAUUUUAAAUAGGAAACAAUAUUGAUGAUUGACACAGAAAUUUGAGUACAUUUAAAAAACAUUUAUAAUAAACUGGCCAAAUUGGCAUUAUUAAAUUUAUGAUUCAGAACCAGUGUGUAAUGUGUAUUGUUUUCAUCAAAUGCUGAAAAUUUAAAAAGUCAUUUUAUAUUGUUAAGGAAAAUACCAUUAACUACUACUACUGACAGAAAAAAUUCAUGAAUGUAAACUGGAGAGUAUCAGCUUUGUUUAGUGACUAGAAAUGUAUCACUUGUGUGUGCUAGGUGUACUGUUUGCUGUGCAUUUUUUUUUGCUUAGUUCAGAGAGAGCUGAUUACUGAGUAUGUGAUUUAGGCUAGGAGACAUGUAACAUUGGAAUUUAAUAAAACCAACUGUAUGUAUUCUCUUGAAAAUGUAAGUGAUCUUUAUCCAUGCACAAAUAUCUGUUUCCUACAUGUGAUAUAUAAAUUCUGUAUUCUUAUUUGAGAUGUCUUUUUUAAAAUGAUUGGACAAUAUUAAACAACAGCUGAUCUGAUAUCGCACAACAGCAUU